rnacentral:rRNA from 1 species
ACGCUCGACACCUACGGGAGGCAGCAGUGGGGAAGUAUUGCACAAUGGGGGAAACCCGUGAUGCAGCGACGCCGCGUGAGCGAAGAAGUAUCUCGGUAUGUAAAGCUCUAUCAGCAGGGAAGAAGAUGACGGUACCUGACUAAGAAGCACCGGCUGAAUACGUGCCACAGCCGCGGUAAUCUGAGCGGGCUGGCAAGGC